GGCGGAUGUAGCCAAGUGGAUCAAGGCAGUGGAUUGUGUGAAUCCCCCAUAAGGGGCGGAUGUAGCCAAGUGGAUCAAGGCAGU
rnacentral:tRNA from 1 species